rnacentral:rRNA from 1 species
CUGGCUCAGGACGAACGCUGGCGGCGUGCCUAACACAUGCAAGUCGAACGGAAAUACGAUUCGGUUGAUUUAGUGGCGAACGGGUGAGUAACGCGUGAGCAACCUGACCUUCAGAGGGGGAUAACAUUUGGAAACAGAUGCUAAUACCGCAUAAGACCACGACCCGACAUCGGGAUGAGGUCAAAGGAGUAAUCCGCUGAGGGAGGGGCUCGCGUCCCAUUAGAUAGAUGGCGGGGUAACGGCCCACCAUGUCGACGAUGGGUAGCCGAGCUGAGAGGCUGAUCGGCCACACUGGAACUGAGACACGGUCCAGACUCCUACGGGAGGCAGCAGUGGGGAAUAUUGGGCAAUGGGCGCAAGCCCUGACCCAGCAACGCCGCGUGAGGGAAGAAGGCUUUCGGGUUGUAAACCUCUAUCCUUGGUGACGAGACAAAUGACGGUAGCCAAGAAGGAAGCCCCGGCUAACUACGUGCCAGCCGCCGC